ensembl:lncRNA
GUGACAUGGAAAACAUGCAGUGUUGGGGGGCCUCCAGGAAACGUUGUUGGGAACCACUGGCACAGUGUGACCAGCAAUGAUCUUAUAGGAUUGCUAAAAUCGUGUAGUGUGUAGAAGGCUUAAAACCCCAUUUUACAGAGAGAUCAUUGUGAGAUCGCAAGUCGGGAGGAGGACAGCUUGAGUGUAUUGCUCGUUGAUUGCUGUUUUAUCGUGUCUGUUCGGAUAUUUGAGCAUAACAAACUCUACUCAAGAACAACAUGUAGCAAAGCCGGGAGAGUGUCUACCUCAAUCAUAUGGAAGUAGAUUGUGUACCAGGUACUGUAACAGUGACUCUCUGUCCCAACAAUGAGAAGCGCUGCAGCAAUGGAUGUGGACGAUACUGUACGGCUCAAUAUACAGCCGGGUCAAUAUCCCAAACCGAAGAACAUUCCAAAGUGUGCUGAAAGCUGUUUCCAUGAUGGCCAGUGUCCUGCCACACAGAAAUGUUGCCCAACCACUAGUUGCCGAGCAUGCAGUGAUCCAUGUGGUCAGGGAGGUUGUCAAAGAAAUGAUCAGGGAAAUAGCGGUCAGGGAAGCGGCCAGGGAAAUAGCGGUCAGGGAAGCGGCCAGGGCCAGGGAAAUAGCGGUCAGGGAAGUGGCCAGGGAAAUAGCGGUCAGGGAAGCGGCCAGGGAAGUAGUGGCCAGGCCCAGGGUAGCGGUCAGGGAAGCGACCAGGGCCAGGGUGGCAGUCAGGCCCAGGGUAGCGGUCAGGGAAGCGACCAGGGCCAGGGUAGAGGCCAGGCCCAGUGUGGUAGUCAGGCCCAGGGAAGCGGCUAUGGUAAAGGAAGCGGCCAGGGAAGCGCUUAUGGCCAGGGAAGCAGUCAGGGAAGCAGCUAUGGUCAGGGAAGUGGUCAAGGUAGCAGUUAUGGUCAGGGAAGCGGCUAUGGUCAAGGAAGUGGCCAAGGUAGCGGCUAUGGCCAGGGAAGCGCUUAUGGCCAGGGCAGUGGUCAGGGAAGGGGUCAAGGCAGCGGUUAUGGUCAGGGCAGCGGCUAUGGGCAGGGAAGUGGUCAAGGUAGCGGUUAUGGUCAGGGAAGCGGCUAGGGUGAGGGAACGGGUCAAGGUAGCGGAUAUGGUCAGGGAAGCGGCUAUGGUCAAGGAAGUGGCCAAGGUAGCGGCUAUGGUCAGGGAAGCGGCUAUGGUCAGGGGAGUUGUCAGGGAAGCGGCUAUGAUAAGGGAAGUGGUCAGGGAAGCGGCUAUGAUCAGGGAAGUGGUCAAGGUAGCGGUUAUGGUCAGGGAAGCGGCUAUGGGCAGGGAAGUGGUCAAGGUAGCGGUUAUGGUCAGGGAAGUGGUCAAGGUAGCGGUUAUGGUCAGGGAAGCGGUUAUGGUCAAGGAAGCGGCCAGGGUAGUGGCUAUGGUCAGGGAAGCGGCUAUGGUCAGGGAAGUGGUCAGGGAAGCGGCUAUGAUCAGGGAAGUGGUCAGGGAAGCGGCUAUGAUCAGGGAAGUGGUCAAGGUAGCGGUUAUGGUCAGGGAAGCGGUCAAGGAGAUUGUCAGGGAUGUGGUCAUUGAAAUGGUUAUGGCAGUUUUGCAUAACACCUACUGAACAUUUUAAAUUCAGUGCUUUAUUCAUAUGGCAUGUUUUCUGAGAUUAGAGAGGAUUCUGUCACUCUCCACCCCCCUCCUCAAAUAAAAAGAAAUUGCUUGAUUGAAGAGUUGGUGUU